rnacentral:rRNA from 1 species
CGCGUGGGUAACCUGCCCUACACUGGGGGACAACAGUUGGAAACGACUGCUAAUACCGCAUAAGCAUAUAGUACCGCAUGGUACAGUAUGAAAAACUACCGGUGGUGUAGGAUGGACCCGCGUCUGAUUAGCUAGUUGGUGAGGUAAUGGCUCACCAAGGCGACGAUCAGUAGCCGGCCUGAGAGGGUGGACGGCCACAUUGGGACUGAGACACGGCCCAAACUCCUACGGGAGGCAGCAGUGGGGAAUAUUGCACAAUGGGGGAAACCCGUGAUGCAGCGACGCUGCGUGAAGGAAGAA